rnacentral:tRNA from 2 species
GGGCGCUUAGCUCAGCCGGGAGAGCAUCUGCCUUACAAGCAGAGGGUCGGGGGUUCGAUCCCCUCAGCGCCCACCA